UAGGGAAUCUUCGGCAAUGGACGGAAGUCUGACCGAGCAACGCCGCGUGAGUGAAGAAGGUUUUCGGAUCGUAAAGCUCUGUUGUAAGAGAAGAACGAGUGUGAGAGUGGAAAGUUCACACUGUGACGGUAUCUUACCAGAAAGGGACGGCUAACUACGUGCCAGCAGCCGCGGUAAUACGUAGGUCCCGAGCGUUGUCCGGAUUUAUUGGGCGUAAAGCGAGCGCAGGCGGUUAGAUAAGUCUGAAGUUAAAGGCUGUGGCUUAACCAUAGUAGGCUUUGGAAACUGUUUAACUUGAGUGCAAGAGGGGGGAGAGUGGAAUUCCAUGUGUAGCGGUGAAAUGCGUAGAUAUAUGGAGGAACACCGGUGGCGAAAGCGGCUCUCUGGCUUGUAACUGACGCUGAGGCUCGAAAGCGUGGGGAGCAAACAGGAUUAGAUACCCUGGUAGUCCACGCUGUAAACGAUGAGUGCUAGGUGUUAGACCCUUUCCGGGGUUUAGUGCCGUAGCUAACGCAUUAAGCACUCCGCCUGGGGAGUACGACCGCAAGGUUG
rnacentral:rRNA from 1 species